rnacentral:pre_miRNA from 1 species
CUUGCUCAGAGUCACAUAGCUAGGGCUGCUAAUUACUACUUAUGUGACUUUGGCCAAAUC